rnacentral:snoRNA from 1 species
CUUCUCUCAGCUCUGCUCAGUCAUGUUCUGUGUGUGGUUGGUGUACUUUGAGAGAGAGAGGAAGGCCCUCCUAAUGCACGACAGACUGGCCCACAGUGGCCUCUCUGUUCCUAGGAGUGCGACAGCU